CGACCGGCGCACGGGUGAGUAACACGUACCCAACCUGCCGUCUACUCUUGGCCAGCCUUCUGAAAGGAAGAUUAAUCCAGGAUGGGAUCAUGAGUUCACAUGUCCGCAUGAUUAAAGGUAUUUUCCGGUAGACGAUGGGGAUGCGUUCCAUUAGAUAGUAGGCGGGGUAACGGCCCACCUAGUCAACGAUGGAUAGGGGUUCUGAGAGGAAGGUCCCCCACAUUGGAACUGAGACACGGUCCAA
rnacentral:rRNA from 1 species